rnacentral:lncRNA from 1 species
CUCCGAGCGCCACGGACUUCGCCCCGGGCGCCGUCCCCGGCGGGCCCCGGCUUCCGCGCGCACCCCUGCCGCGCGGUUCUCGGGCAGUCGGCGCAAGUCUCAACCGGCUCGGAACGAGAGGCACCUGCCCGUCCGCCAGCCUCAAAACAGCGCGCGGUGCCGCUCCCGGGAUACCUGGGUUCCCGCUGGUCCUGCCACGACCCCCGGGGCGCUCCUCGCUGCGGCCUUAUUAGGAGGCGGCCCCCGCAGGGAGCAGGAAGCAGAAAGUCUCUGCAAACCCUUCCAGAGGGCGGACGACGGUGGAGUGCUGAAUUAUACCCAUAUGGCCAACAGGUGGGAACCCUGGGCUGCAGGAGCUGUAGGCCCCCCCGGGAGAACCUCUCUUCUCUGCCCUGCGCGGGCUCUUGAGGACCGUGGUCAAAGGAGCCCAAGUCUUGCAUCGCGGCAUCCUGACACACACUCAUUGGCCCCAUGAAGUCGGGGGCGCUGAUUGAGAAGCGUUAUGAUGAGGUCACUGCCAGCCGUGAAUGCGCUCUCUGCGUGCCAGGAACGACCGCAUCCUGUUCCACGUCCUGGAACUGCUGGGCUCAGGUGUGCAGCCCCGUGGCCAGGUGUCCAUCGUUAAAAUCCACUUUGCAGAGGUGCUCCUGUCCCGUGCAAGUGAGCCCCACUGCGUGCCCAGACCUGUGCUGGGACAUCAGUGCAAAGGAAGCAGAACUACCCCCCUGCCCGAGAGCCUUCUGUGUAGCUCGGGGGUGAAAGCACCCUGGCCGGUACCUCCGUGCCCCCCCACCACAGCCUUCCUCCCACCCCUCGGGACGUCGAAUAAUGCCUGCCCCAUCACAAGAGAGUUGGCUCCCAUCCUUCCUCUUGCUGACGGAGUCGUUUGGGGCUGGAUGUGCUCGGAGGAGAGGUCAUAAGGUAAAGAUAGGAGGUGGGCGAGCAGCCCUGCUGUAUGAAACCUCAACUUUCCACAUCCUGCUCGUCUUCAAGGCCAGCUCUGGGCCCAGCACCCUCGGGGACCCUGGGCCCCUCUGGUCCACAGGGUGAGCUCCCUUCAGAGGACACAGCACACACGGCCAUGCAGGGCUGGGUGACCUGGCAGGUGAGAAAGCUCUGCCUCCUCCACCCGAGUGGGGGCUCCUGGAGGUUAAGGGUCAUGUCUUCUUGGCUUUUAUCCUCAUGAUGUCAGCACAGGGGAGGCUCCCCGGGAGAGUUUUUCCCCCAGCAUGCCUGGGAACUGCCGUCAGCCACCAUCAUGAAAGCUGAGGUGUUUGCUUGUCAUCACUUACAUAUUUUCAGCUUAAAUACCAUACAGUUUCUUCGUAUCUUCCAAUGAAUGAAAGGAAAAAAAUGUAUAUGGGGGGUGUGAAAAUUAACUCAUAAAAAUCCUUGACUUACCAAAAAAAUUCAAGAAAUGUGCUUCAUACACACAGAUGUGGCAAUUGGGAUGCUCCUUUCAUGUGCAGGAGCCCCAGGAUGGAAGGGCUGCCAGGCGUACCGAGGGAAGUAUUUCUCAUCUCUGUAAAGUUGAUAGAAUCUAAUUUCUUAGUGGAGAAACUUGCUGCGGUUGUUAGUUUGUGGUAACUGCCCCUCUUUAACUGGUUUAUGGCUGAUCCCAAUCCCAAAGAGCAGUAUAAUUCAGUUAUCUACGAUGGUGUGGAAGGCACAAUUUGUGCAUUAAAGGGCAAAAGCACACUGUUCAGGUGGGCUGGCCCUUGGGAGCCCUCCUGAGAUAUUUCACAGCGGGUAUGAGUAGGUGGGGGAGGACAUAUUUUGUUUCACCUGCUUAAAAUGAUUUCAGACCAAUAACCUUGUGGCCAUUCUCUGUGUUAGAUCCAAUUUCAAGCUCUUUCUUCUGGAGCAUCUUGGUCCUGUCCACUGCUGCUCCUUUAGUCUACUUCUGCAGUGAGUGGGGUAUUGUGUGUCCUUUCCUGGCACUGGAGCAUUUAUAAAUGUAGCAAGCCUUCCUCUGCUUUGGCUGCUGACUAAAUCCUAUGACUCUACACCUAACCAACCUCAUAAAUAGGGAGGCCUUGUACCGUUGUGCAGGUUGCACACUGCACAACUCCAAGGAAUGCCAUUUACAUGGACCACAAUGGAACCUCCAGAGCUGUAUUAGGACGACCUGCACAAUACUCCAGGAAAGCCCCAUCUCAUAAAUUUCUCUACAUGCCAAGGGCUCUCUUCUAAAUACCACCCUGACAAAACAGACAAAAUUCCUACCCCCAGGAAGCUUACAUUCUAGUGGGGGGAAAUACAUAAUAAACAAAUUACAGAUGCCUAUGUGUAAUAUUAUGUCACACAUAUAAUAUUACAUAUGUACAUACAGCACUACAUACGUGCAUAUGUAAUAUUACAUGUAUAUGUAAUUAUGUAUAAUAUAUUAAUGGUGAUAAAGAAGUAGAAAAUAAAUCAGGGAAGGGGAAGAGAGUGGCGGAGGUGAAUUUUAGAGAGCAGAGAUCUGGGAAGGACUUUCUGAGAAGAUGCCAUUUGUGCGAAACCUGAAGAGUGAGGAAUGUGCUGUGUUCCCUGGGGGAAGGACACUCCACACAGAAGGAACAGCAAGUGCAAAGGCCCUGAGGCAGGAGUGUGACCAGUGCUGAAGAAGCGGCAGGGAGGCUGGUGUGGCUACAAUGGGGUCAGAGGGAUAGUGACGUGGUCAGAUGGAUCCCGAAGCAGGGCCACUUCAGGCUUUGGAGGCUGUGAUGUACUUGGAGCUUACUCUGCAUCAGAUGAGAAGCCAUCCAAGGGUUUUGAGUAGAGGAGUGGCAAAAUUUCAAAAAAAUCACCCUGACCAACAAGUUGAGAUCAGACAAAGGAUACAGAGGAGGAAGCAGGAGACCAAUUAGGAGCAAUUGGGGGGAUUCCGAGGUGAGAAAGGCUCUUUUAUUUUAGACUGGCUGGUGAGGCUGGAGGGAGGGGACCUGUGCCGGGGUCAAGGUUAGGGAGGUGGGCAGGGGCAGGGCAGUCCAGGUUGAGUCUUGCCCCCACGUUGCAGGAACAUUGGGUUUGAUUUCCCAGCAGGGGGGCUGAGAUUUAUCCUGACUGCCAAGUGCAGCAGGGCUACUGGCAUGAGGGGUGUCCCAGGCAUGGGGAACAAGAUGCUGGGAGGCUGGACCAGGACAGAAAUGGUGCAAGUGGGAGAUUUGCUCGGUUGUGCUCUGAAGGCCUUGCUGAUGGACUGAAGGAAGCAAGAGGAAAGUCAAGGCGGACUCCUGGGUUGUGGCUUGAGCAACGGAAUGGAUGUUGGUUCUGGUCAUGAGAAGCGGAAAACUGGAAGAGAACCAGCCAGGUUUGGGGGAGAAACAAGGGGUUCCACUACGACCAUGACAUAAGACGAUGUUAAAUGGGAGAUGCCUAUUAGUCACUUGGCGCUUCUGUGUGUAAUCUACAAAGGAAGUCACACAUUCGUUCAAUUACUAUUUGUCGAAUGAGUAAGUGGGUGCCAGCCCUUCUGGAUGAGGGAGGCCAGACUGGGAGUCAAAGAUGGCGAUUCAGAGUGAUGAUGCUAACACGACCCCAGGGGAAGCUGUCCCACCCCUGUCACUGUCACCGGUCGUAUCAGCCAUUGGCAGAGGAGCUGGGCUGGGAACGAAGAUCUCUCUGCUAUAGGCAAAGGGUCUGCGUGGAGGAGAGACGGCAGGACCCACGUGCCCAGGCCGGGAUUGAACCCAAGUCCUCGUGGGUACCAGUCCAUGUGGAUUCGUUUCCGCUGCACCACAGCAGGAACUCCUAUCUGUCUUUUUAAUUUUAGCCAUCCCAGUGUAUGUGAAGUGGUAUCUCAUGGCAGUUUUGAUUUGUGUUGUCUUAGUGACUAAUGAUGUUUUGCUUCUGUCAGUUUCAGCCUCUGAAGGAUGUGGGGUCCCCAGACCAGGACAUGAUGGUAAUUAGAAUAGUGCUGUCGACACCUUCCCUUCAAGCCUAAAGAGGUGCAGGUUUUAUCAGAGUAGGAGCCAACAGGUAGGCUCUUUCCGCAACACGUGUGGUUUUUGCCUGAGAGCCUGGCAGUGGAAGUGAACGCCUCCCCCCAAAAACAGUUUAAAAAUUAUUUUCACACACUAAACAAGUAGCUGAAGAAAAAAUAAACUAAUGUGGAUAAAAGAGAAACUCUACUGGAAGAGAUUUUAUUAUUUAAAUACUUGCUAGGAUAAUAUUUAUUUGCAGGGAAACCCACUCCCCCAACUCACCUCCUGCGCUGGGCGAAUGGCACCACUGCCGUGGACAAAGACUGCCUAUCACCUGCCAUUUCAGAAAACAAAACAUGCCGUGGCCAUCGAGCCAUCAGCCACAGCAGCCGACCCAGACGGGACACCCUGAGGGGAAUUUAGGAUGGAGAAAAGCAGGACACUGGCCCUAAAUGUUAGGAUGCAUAUCGAAGGCUUAGUUUCAAGGAGCCCAGACUCUUGCAUCGCCCCAAGCAUAGAAAAGCACUAAAAUCAUUAACGUCAGACGUCUGAUUUCUUUUAAUUAGUGAUAAUCUUUUGAGGUUUGACAACAUUUUUUCAUUUUGUUUUGUUUUUCAGCAAAAGCUCAUAUAAGCCUUAGCUUGUUGCAAGAGUCCCUUCGAUGUUUCCAUGAGGCUGUAUCCCAGGCUCUAGUCCUCAGAGAUUCCCCAGAUAAAACACAGUUCUCAACUCUGAGGUUGGGCAUUUUUUCUUUUCCGUCGACACCCAGGACAUCCACUGGUCCUGUACUAUCCGAGAGAAACAGGCACUUUCUUAGAUCUGGGAGUUAAACUUCCUUCAGAGACAUCUCAUGGCAACUACCUCACGCACGGACUGUUUCCUGCCUGCUGGGGGUUUUAUUGGGAGCCCUCUGUUGCACAAUCACAAGAAUUUCAGUGUUCCCAGCCUGCAGUUCUGGGAUUAGAGGGUGCAGUUCUGGGAUUAGAGGGCUAAGUUCCUGGGGCCCUGGAAGGAAAAUCUAGCACUAGGAUUCUCUAAAGCCCAAACUUGAUGGGAAAUGGGUUUGAUGUUCACUUAGUGUGCAAACCAGGAAUUCCCUAAAAAUGACAUUGCGAGUCUAGUGGGAAUCCUACCAACAUGUUCGGGGAGGUUCCAGAACUUUCAUCAUUGUUUGGGAAAUGGGAUUCCAAUCUUGAAUGCCUCCUUCCCAGGCUCAUUCUUUCAUCCUGUAUCAUGAUGCCUGACUCUGCUUUUUAGAGCUUAUAGCAGGAGACAUCUCCCACCACGGCAGAUUUUUAAAAAAGAAGUUUGCAGUUGUUUACACAUACCCUGUUCUCUGGGGAACUUGGGUCAGGAUCCGAUUGUAGACCAGUUUUGUGCUCUGGGAGCAGCCAGCUGGAGAGACAGUUAAAGAAGAGAGAGGAGAAGCAGCAGCUAAAGGCAGGCUUUGUACAUUUUGUAAACAGUCUGGCCUCUAUCACCUACAGCCCAUGUGGUCUGGGGCAAAUGACUUUCUAAGAACCUCCAUUUCCUCCUCUGAAAAACCAAGGUAAGGCUGCUUACUCACCACAAAAGGCUGAUAUGAGGCAUAUAUAAACCACCAAGAGAGCACUUGUUGUGCUCAGCGAUACCGAAGAGGCUGUGGUUGUUUUUGCUCUUCCCUCCAGCAGUGAGUGGAAUGCGCCUCUCCUUGUCUCAUCUGCCUCCUCCCAGACCCCCCACCUCAAACCCAGGGGAGAACUCCGGGCAUCCAGAAGGUGUUCCAGAACACUGUUCUUAGGUGAAACAAAUUCAGGUUUCCAGUUGAAUAAAAGAGACAAUAGAUGAGUGGAUUUGGUCGUGAAACAGAUAUGUACAGAGACCCUGUUAAUGUUCCAGACUGUUCUAGGCACAGAAGAAACAGCUGUGAAUGAAACAGACAAGAAUUCAUGCCCUCAUGGAGCUUCUCUGCUAGAAAGGAGAGAGAGACUCUAAAUAAAGAAAUCACGGAAAUGGACGGUAACGGAGGAAGGGCUAUGCCAAAAAUAAAGCAAGGAAGGAGAAGGCCAGUGGAAGGGGACAGGGAGGCCAGAGAUGAGUCAGGGAGGUCGUCUUCUUUUUUAAAGAUUCUUAACAUUUAUUGAAGCGUAAUGUACACACAGAAAAGUAUGCGUGUCAGAGUUCCCGUCGUGGCUCAGUGGUUAACGAAUCCGACUAGGAACCAUGAGGUUGUGGGUUCGAUCCCUGGCCUUGCUCAGUGGGUUGAUGAUCCGGCAUUGCCGUGAGCUCUGGUGUAGGUUGCAGACGCGGCUCGGAUCCUGCCUUGCUGUGGCUAUGGUGUAGGCCAGUGGCUACAACUCCGACUCGACCCCUAGCCUGGGAAUCUCCAUAUGCCUCUGGUGCGGCCCUAGAAAAAGGCAAAAAGAC